UAAACUUAAGAGUUUGAUUCUGGCUCAGAACGAACGCUGGCGGCAGGCCUCAUACAUGCAAGUCGAACGCCCCUUCGGGGGAGUGGCAGACGGGUGAGUAACACGUGGGAACCUACCCAGAGGUUCGGAAUAACUCAGGGAAACUUGAGCUAAUACCGGAUAAGCCUUACGAGGGAAAGAUUUAUCGCCUUUGGAUGGGCCCGCGGCAGAUUAGUUUGUUGGUGGGGUAAUGGCCUACCAAGACUACGAUCUGUAGCUGGUUUGAGAGGAUGAUCAGCCACACUGGGACUGAGACACGGCCCAGACUCCUACGGGAGGCAGCAGUAGGGAAUCUUGCACAAUGGGCGAAAGC
rnacentral:rRNA from 2 species